rnacentral:rRNA from 1 species
CACGAACGCUGGCGGCAGGCUUAACACAUGCAAGUCGAGCGCCCCGCAAGGGGAGCGGCAGACGGGUGAGUAACGCGUGGGAAUCUACCCAUCUCUACGGAAUAACGCAUGGAAACGUGUGCUAAUGCCGUAUACGUCCUUCGGGAGAAAGAUUUAUCGGAGAUGGAUGAGCCCGCGUUGGAUUAGCUAGUUGGUGGGGUAAAGGCCUACCAAGGCGACGAUCCAUAGCUGGUCUGAGAGGAUGAUCAGCCACACUGGGACCGAGACACGGCCCAGACUCCUACGGAAGGCAGCAGUGGGGAAUAUUGGACAAUGGGCGCAAGCCUGAUCCAGCCAUGCCGCGUGAGUGAUGAAGGCCCUAGGGUUGUAAAGCUCUUUCACCGGUGAAGAUAAUGACGGUAACCGGAGAAGAAGCCCCGGCUAACUUCGUGCCAGCAGCCGCAGUAAUAC